UAUGAACGCUAGCUACAGGCUUAACACAUGCAAGUCGAGGGGCAGCAUGGUCUUAGCUUGCUAAGGCCGAUGGCGACCGGCGCACGGGUGAGUAACACGUAUCCAACCUGCCGUCUACUCUUGGACAGCCUUCUGAAAGGAAGAUUAAUACAAGAUGGCAUCAUGAGUCCGCAUGUUCACAUGAUUAAAGGUAUUCCGGUAGACGAUGGGGAUGCGUUCCAUUGGAUAGUAGGCGGGGUAACGGCCCACCUAGUCUUCGAUGGAUAGGGGUUCUGAGAGGAAGGUCCCCCACAUUGGAACUGAGACACGGUCCAAACUCCUACGGGAGGCAGCAGUGAGGAAUAUUGGUCAAUGGGCGAGAGCCUGAACCAGCCAAGUAGCGUGAAGGAUGACUGCCCUAUGGGUUGUAAACUUCUUUUAUAAAGGAAUAAAGUCGGGUAUGGAUACCCGUUUGCAUGUACUUUAUGAAUAAGGAUCGGCUAACUCCGUGCCAGCAGCCGCGGUAAUACGGAGGAUCCGAGCGUUAUCCGGAUUUAUUGGGUUUAAAGGGAGCGUAGAUGGAUGUUUAAGUCAGUUGUGAAAGUUUGCGGCUCAACCGUAAAAUUGCAGUUGAUACUGGAUAUCUUGAGUGCAGUUGAGGCAGGCGGAAUUCGUGGUGUAGCGGUGAAAUGCUUAGAUAUCACGAAGAACUCCGAUUGCGAAGGCAGCCUGCUAAGCUGCAACUGACAUUGAGGCUCGAAAGUGUGGGUAUCAAACAGGAUUAGAUACCCUGGUAGUCCACACGGUAAACGAUGAAUACUCGCUGUUUGCGAUAUACUGCAAGCGGCCAAGCGAAAGCGUUAAGUAUUCCACCUGGGGAGUACGCCGGCAACGGUGAAACUCAAAGGAAUUGACGGGGGCCCGCACAAGCGGAGGAACAUGUGGUUUAAUUCGAUGAUACGCGAGGAACCUUACCCGGGCUUAAAUUGCAGAUGAAUUACGGUGAAAGCCGUAAGCCGCAAGGCAUCUGUGAAGGUGCUGCAUGGUUGUCGUCAGCUCGUGCCGUGAGGUGUCGGCUUAAGUGCCAUAACGAGCGCAACCCUUGUUGUCAGUUACUAACAGGUUCCGCUGAGGACUCUGACAAGACUGCCAUCGUAAGAUGUGAGGAAGGUGGGGAUGACGUCAAAUCAGCACGGCCCUUACGUCCGGGGCUACACACGUGUUACAAUGGGGGGUACAGAGGGCCGCUACCACGCGAGUGGAUGCCAAUCCCCAAAACCUCUCUCAGUUCGGACUGGAGUCUGCAACCCGACUCCACGAAGCUGGAUUCGCUAGUAAUCGCGCAUCAGCCACGGCGCGGUGAAUACGUUCCCGGGCCUUGUACACACCGCCCGUCAAGCCAUGGGAGCCGGGGGUACCUGAAGUGCGUAACCGCGAGGAGCGCCCUAGGGUAAAACUGGUGACU
rnacentral:rRNA from 1 species